ACACGACUACAUUAGAUACCCGCGUAGUCCCAGCCCUAAACGAUGCGCGUUAGGUGUAUCGGUGACCACGAGUCACCGAGGUGCCGAAGGGAAACCGUGAAACGUGCCGCCUGGGAAGUACGGUCGCAAGGCUAGAAACUUAAAGGAAUUGGCGGGGGAGCACCACAACGGGUGGAGCCUGCGGUUUAAUUGGACUCAACGCCGGGAAGCUUACCGGAUAAGACAGCGGAAUGAUUGCCGGGCUGAAGACCCUGCAUGACCAGCUG
rnacentral:rRNA from 1 species